rnacentral:rRNA from 1 species
UACAGAGGUCUCAAGCGUUGUUCGGAUUCAUUGGGCGUAAAGGGUGUGUAGGUGGCGCGCUAAGUCGGGUGUGAAAUUUCGGAGCUUAACUCCGAAACUGCAUUCGAUACUGGCGUGCUUGAGGACUGGAGAGGAGACUGGAAUUCAUGGUGUAGCAGUGAAAUGCGUAGAGAUCAUGAGGAAGACCAGUGGCGAAGGCGGGUCUCUGGACAGUUCCUGACACUGAGACACGAAAGCAUGGGGAGCAAAAGGG